rnacentral:rRNA from 1 species
AUUGAACGCUAGCGGGAUGCCUUACACAUGCAAGUCGAACGGAGUGGCGAACGGGUGAGUAAUGUAUCGGAACGUGCCCAGUAGCGGGGGAUAACUACGCGAAAGCGUAGCUAAUACCGCAUACUAUUGGAGCGGCCGAUAUCGGAUUAGCUAGUGGGUGGGGUAACGGCUCACCAAGGCGACGAUCCGUAGCUGGUUUGAGAGGAAGGCCAGCCACACGGGUGUUGAGAAACGUUCCAGAGUCCUACGGGAGGCAGCAGUGGGGAAUUGUGGACAAGGGGGGAAACCCUGAUCCAGCCAUCCCGCGUGUGCGAUGAAGGCCUGCGGGUUGUAAAGCACUUUUGGCAGGAAAGCGGUACCUGCAGAAUAAGCACCGACUAACUACGUGCCAGCAGCCGCGGUAAUUC